rnacentral:tRNA from 1 species
GAAAAAAUAAGCUAAUAAAACUACUGGGUUCAUACCCCAACCAUAGAGGUCCUAAUCCUUUUUUUUUCA